rnacentral:rRNA from 1 species
GCAUAUAACUAAGCGGAGGAAAAGAAACUAACAAGGAUUCCCCUAGUAACGGCGAGUGAAGCGGGAAGAGCUCACAGUGAAAAUCGAGCCCUCGGGCCCGAAUUGUAGUCUGAAGAGGCGAGGCCCGCCACUGUCCGUGGCCAAGUCUGAUUGGAAAUGAGCAUCAUGGAGGGUGACAAUCCCGUUCAUGCCGCGGUAUCGAUCAGUGCGCAAAAGGCCCGUUUUCGACGAGUCGAGUUGCUUGGGAUUGCAGCUCAAAGCGGGUGGUAAACUCCAUCGAAAGCUAAAUAUGGGGGGGAGACCGAUAGCGAACAAGUACCGUGAGGGAAAGAUGCAAAGAACUUUGAAAAGAGAGUUAAAGAGUGCCUGAAAUUGCUGGAAGGGAAGCGAAGGAAAGAGGUGUGCGGUAGUCGGAGCGCCAACCCCCAUUUGCCUUCGUGGUGUGGGGGUAGGCCGCUUCGCCGCGGUCAGGGGCAGCGCCUGGGUCGCGUGAGGAUCCGCGCGGGAUCGGUAGCCCUCCCCUCUCGGGGAAGGUGUCAGGCCCGCGCGGCACCGCGUCGCGGCUUUUACCAGGCCCCCUUUUGUCUGGCGGUUGCUGCUUUUCUUCACCCCGUCUUGAAACACGGACCAAGGAGUCUAGCGUGGACGCGAGUAUAGGGGCGUGGAAACCCCCUUGCGCAGUGAAGGUGAACGCAGGUGGGAGGUCGCCCUUCUUUUUGUUAUGCGGCGGCCGGCACCAUCGACCGAGCGUGUCCCCCCGGGGGCAGGGCUUGAGUGUGAGCGUGCAUGCUGGGACCCGAAAGAUGGUGAACUAUGCUUGAAUAGGGCGAAGCCAGGGGAAACUCUGGUGGAGGCUCGUAGCGAUUCUGACGUGCAAAUCGAUCGUGAGAUUUGGGUAUAGGGGCGAAAGACUAAUCGAACCAUCUAGUAGCUGGUUCCCUCCGAAAUUUCCCUCAGGAUAGCAGCGGCUGUUGUCCCAGUUUUAUCAGGUAAAGCGAAUGAUUAGAGGCUGCGGGGGAGUAACUCCCUCGCCCUAUUCUCAAACUUUAAAUGGGUAAGGAGCCGGGGUCGCUUGGUUGGACCCUUCGGCAUGGAAUGGUUGGUCGUUAGUGGGCCAGUCCGGGUAAGCUGGACUGGCGAUGCGGGAUGAACCGAACGCCUAGAUAAAGCGCCUCACUGCCCGCUCACCUAGAUCCCACAAAAGGUGUUGGUU